rnacentral:rRNA from 1 species
AUUGAACGCUGGCGGAAUGCUUUACACAUGCAAGUCGAACGGCAGCACGGACUUCGGUCCGGUGGCGAGUGGCGAACGGGUGAGUAAUGUAUCGGAACGUGCCCAGUCGUGGGGGAUAACGUAGUGAAAAUUACGCUAAUACCGCAUACGAUCUAUGGAUGAAAGCGGGGGAUCGCAAGACCUCGCGCGAUUGGAGCGGCCGAUAUCAGAUUAGGUAGUUGGUGGGGUAAGGGCCCACCAAGCCAACGAUCUGCAGCUGGUCUGAGAGGACGACCAGCCACACUGGAACUGAGAAACGAUCCAGACUCCUCCGGGAGGCAGCAGUGGGGAAUUUUGGACAAUGGGCGAAAGCCUGAUCCAGCCAUUCCGCGUGCAGGAUGAAGGCCCUCGGGUUGUAAACUGCUUUUGUACAGAACGAAAAGGUUUCUACUAAUACUAGGAGCUCAUGACGGUACUGUAAGAAUAAGCACCGGCUAACUACGUGCCAGCCGCCGCGGUAA